rnacentral:rRNA from 1 species
GACGAACGCUGGCGGCGUGCCUAAUACAUGCAAGUAGAACGCUGAAGGAGGAGCUUGCUCUUCUGGAUGAGUUGCGAACGGGUGAGUAACGCGUAGGUAACCUGCCUGGUAGCGGGGGAUAACUAUUGGAAACGAUAGCUAAUACCGCAUAACAGUAGAUGUUGCAUGACAUUUACUUAAAAGGUGCAAUUGCAUCACUACCAGAUGGACCUGCGUUGUAUUAGCUAGUUGGUGGGGUAACGGCUCACCAAGGCGACGAUACAUAGCCGACCUGAGAGGGCGAUCGGCCACACUGGGACUGAGACACGGCCCAGACUCCUACGGGAGGCAGCAGUAGGGAAUCUUCGGCAAUAGACGGAAGUCUGACCGAGCAACGCCGCGUGAGUGAAGAAGGUUUUCGGAUCGUAAAGCUCUGUUGUAAGAGAAGAACGAGUGUGAGAGUGGAAAGUUCACACUGUGACGGUAUCUUACCAGAAAGGGACGGCUAACUACGUG